UUCCUCCAUACAUCCAUCACAAGAUUAUCUGCACCAUGAACUUUUAUAAAGAAUCACACAACUAUUAAGACCGUUUGUGCAGCAACUCAAUAACUACUGUUGAUAUUUUGAAGUCCACAUAUCCCUAUACAAAUGUCCACAAAAGAUAUCUGAAAUGCACUGAAGUCAAAACUUCCUCACAUAUACCAAUCAAAAGAUUGUAUGCGGCAUUAACUUCUCUAAAGUGUACAACUGAU